AACGAACGCUGGCGGCAGGCUUAACACAUGCAAGUCGAACGCACCUUUCGGGGUGAGUGGCAGACGGGUGAGUAACGCGUGGGAAUCUACCCUUCUCUACGGGAUAGCUCCGGGAAACUGGAAUUAAUACCGUAUACGUCCUGAGGGAGAAAGAUUUAUCGGGGAAGGAUGAGCCCGCGUUGGAUUAGCUAGUUGGUGGGGUAAAGGCCUACCAAGGCGACGAUCCAUAGCUGGUCUAAGAGGAUGAUCAGCCACAUUGGGACUGAGACACGGCCCAAACUCUUACGAGCGGCAGCAGUAGGGAAUAUUGGACAAUGGGCGCAAGCCUGAUCCAGCCAUGCCGCGUGAGUGAUGAAGGCCCUAGGGUUGUAAAGCUCUUUCAGUGGGGACGAUAAUGACGGUACCCACAGAAGAAGCCCCGGCUAACUUCGUG
rnacentral:rRNA from 1 species